rnacentral:rRNA from 1 species
CCUACGGGUGGCAGCAGUGAGGAAUAUUGGUCAAUGGGCGGAAGCCUGAACCAGCCAAGUAGCGUGCAGGAUGACGGCCCUACGGGUUGUAAACUGCUUUUAUACGGGAAUAACGCGCCUUACGUGUAGGGCUUUGCAUGUACCGUAUGAAUAAGGACCGGCUAAUUCCGUGCCAGCAGCCGCGGUAAUACGGAAGGUCCGGGCGUUAUCCGGAUUUAUUGGGUUUAAAGGGUGCGUAGGCGGAUCGUUAAGUCAGUGGUCAAAUUGAGGGGCUCAACCCCUUCCCGCCAUUGAAACUGGCGCUCUUGAGUGGAAGAGAAGUAUGCGGAAUGCGUGGUGUAGCGGUGAAAUGCAUAGAUAUCACGCAGAACCCCGAUUGCGAAGGCAGCAUGCCGGCUUCCGACUGACGCUGAAGCACGAAAGCGUGGGGAUCGAACAGGAUUAGAUACCCCUGUAGUC